rnacentral:other from 1 species
UGUUUCCUGCGGUGAACGUAUGUUAAGGCACAGUCUCUUGACCGUAAUUUAAUACUGCUAGGGGGCAAAACGUGGGGUGGCGUGCAGGCCAUGUAUUUUGGAAGCCCAAGCUCCGCUACUAUCUGCCUUCCACUUGAACUUCUAGUUCAAGAGCAUUCGCCCGUAUACGUCACUCGCGGGGCAACC